UACGAAGGGGGCUAGCGUUGUUCGGAUUUACUGGGCGUAAAGCGCACGUAGGCGGAUUGUUAAGUCGGGGGUGAAUCCUGGAGCUCAACUCCAGAACUGCCUUCGAUACUGGCAAUCUCGAGUCCGGAAGAGGUAAGUGGAACUCCUAGUGUAGAGGUGGAAUUCGUAGAUAUUAGGAAGAACACCAGUGGCGAAGGCGGCUUACUGGUCCGGUACUGACGCUGAGGUGCGAAAGCGUGGGGAGCAAACAGG
rnacentral:rRNA from 1 species